GAUGAAGAACGUAGUGAAAUGCGAUAACUAAUGUGAAUUGCAGAAUUCAGUGAAUCAUCGAGUCUUUGAACGCACAUUGCGCCCCCUGGUAUUCCGGGGGGCAUGCCUGUCCGAGCGUCAUAGCUGCCCUCAAGCACGGCUUGUGUGUUGGGCUCCGUCCCCCCGGGGACGGGCCCGAAAGGCAGCGGCGGCACCGAGUCCGGUCCUCGAGCGUAUGGGGCUUUGUCACCCGCUCUGUAGGCCCGGCCGGCGCCAGCCGACAACCCAUCAUCCUUUUCAGGUUGACCUCGGAUCAGGUAGGGAUACCCGCUGAACUUAAGCAUAUCAAUAAGCGGAGGA
rnacentral:misc_RNA from 1 species